rnacentral:rRNA from 1 species
AACGCGAAGAACCUUACCUGGGCUCGAAGCGUAGUGGACCGGGGUGGAAACAUCCCUUGCCCGCAAGGGCCUGCUACGGAGGUGCUGCAUGGCUGUCGUCAGCUCGUGGGGUGACCUGUUGGGUUAAGUCCCGCAACGAGCGCAACCCCUAUCCUUAGUUGCCAGCAUUCAGUUGGGCUCUCUAGGGAGACUGCCGUGGUUAACACGGAGGAAGGUGGGGAUGACGUCAAGUCCUCAUGGCCUUUAUAUCCAGGGCGACACACGUGAUACAAUGGACGGUACAAAGGGACGCCAAGUGGUGACACGGAGCUAAUCUCAAAAAGCCGUUCUCAGUUCGGAUUGGAGUCUGCAACUCGACUCCAUGAAGUUGGAAUCGCUAGUAAUCGCGGAUCAGCACGCCGCGGUGAAUACGUUCCCGGGCCUUGUACACACCGGUACUA